UACGUAGGUGGCAAGCGUUGUCCGGAAUUAUUGGGCGUAAAGCGUGCGCAGGUGGUUGUGUAAGCUUGAUGUGAAAUCCCCGGGCUUAACCUGGGAAUGGCAUUGAGGACUGCACGGCUAGAGUGUGGCAGAGGGGGGUGGAAUUCCGCGUGUAGCAGUGAAAUGCGUAGAGAUGCGGAGGAACACCGAUGGCGAAGGCAGCCCCCUGGGCUAACACUGACACUCAUGCACGAAAGCGUGGGGAGCAAACAGG
rnacentral:rRNA from 1 species